UAGACAAAGGCCUCUGCCAAAUCCCAUAACCAUAACCAUAACUUAAAGACGAACCCUUUUGUGUUUUAGUAGGCUUCGAAACACAACGGUGGUGUCAGGAAAAUGAAACUGAAACUUGUGAUGCAGUAGAGUAGACCUAUGUUAAAUUACAUUUUCACAUUAAUUUAUGUCUGAUAGGAAACUGAAGAGGCGGAGUGGAGUGAUCAUCAGUUAUUUCAAUUAUUUUCGCAAGUAUCAAAAUUCUCAGAUCAUUCCUAAGUAUCUUCACAAAGGCACAUAUGUGGGCACGCAGGAGAGCCCUAGCAAAUAUAUAGAAAGAGGGGUGGAUCCAGUCAUCAACAACCCCAACAUGCCCCGUUGGCACAUGUAUCCAUACGUCCGAAUGGCUUUUGAACGUGGCUACUGAAUUAAUUUCAUUGAAACAAAAGACACCUGGAAUAUUCCUCUUGAGGAAUUUGAAAGGAUUGGUGGCGGUACAAUUCCACUACCAAUACUGGAAGACAUGAAGAACUAAUAUGAGCCAGUACGAAAUGUCUACGACGUCCUGAAUGAUGAAUAUUCUCAAUAUAGAUGGAUUGUUAGUAAGGAAAUGACAUCUAAUUUCUAUAGGCAUUUCUAUAUUCCACUUCCUUCAUGGCGUGAAUUAUGUCAUGAAAAGGAAUGAUCAGAUAUCAUGCAUCAUUCAUAUAAAAAUAAAUUGUGACAUUUUUGUUUA